AUUGAACGCUGGCGGCCGGCCUAACACAUGCAAGUCGAACGAGUGGCGGACGGGCGACUUAUGUCUGGGAAACUGCCUGAUGGAGGGGGAUAACUUCUGGAAACGGUAGCUAAUACCGCAUACCAUCAGAUGUGCCCAGAUGGGAUUAGCUUGUUGGUGGGGUAACGGCUCACCGAGGCGACGAUCCCUAGCGGGUCUGAGAGGAUGACCAGCUACACUGGAACUGAGGCACGGUCAAAACUCCUACGGGAGGCAGCAGUGGGGAAGAUUGCACAAUGGGCGCAAGCCUGAUGCAGCCAUGCCGCGUGUAUGAAGAAGGCCUUCGGGUUGUAAAGUACUUUCAGCGGGGAGGCGUUACCCGCAGAAGAAGCACCGGCUAACUACGUGCCAGCAGCCGCGGUAAUUC
rnacentral:rRNA from 1 species